rnacentral:tRNA from 1 species
GGGGAUAUAACUCAAUGGUAGAGCACUUGCCUAGGAUGCAGGAGACCCUGAGUUCAGUCCUGGGUAUUACUG